rnacentral:rRNA from 1 species
CCUACGGGUGGCAGCAGUGAGGAAUAUUGGUCAAUGGGCGGAAGCCUGAACCAGCCAAGUAGCGUGCGGGAUGAAGGCCCUACGGGUCGUAAACCGCUUUUGCACGGGGAUAACACCCUCCACUUGUGGAGGUCUGCAGGUACCGUGCGAAUAAGGGCAGGCUAAUUCCGUGCCAGCAGCCGCGGUAAGACGUAGGGGGCAAGCGUUAUCCGGAUUUACUGGGUGUAAAGGGGGCGCAGACGGCAAUGCAAGCCAGGAGUGAAAGCCCGGGGCCCAACCCCGGGACUGCUCUUGGAACUGCAUGGCUGGAGUACAGGAGGGGCAGGCGGAAUUCCUAGUGUAGCGGUGAAAUGCGUAGAUAUUAGGAGGAACACCGGUGGCGAAGGCGGCCUGCUGGACUGUGACUGACGUUGAGGCCCGAAGGCGUGGGGAGCAAACAGGAUUAGAUACCCGGGUAGUC